rnacentral:rRNA from 1 species
ACGAACGCUGGCGGCGUGCUUAACACAUGCAAGUCGUACGGUAAGGCCCUUUCGGGGGUACACGAGUGGCGAACGGGUGAGUAACACGUGAGUAACCUGCCCACAACUUUGGGAUAACGCUAGGAAACUGGUGCUAAUACUGGAUAUGUGCUCCUGCUGCAUGGUGGGGGUUGGAAAGCUCCGGCGGUUGUGGAUGGACUCGCGGCCUAUCAGCUUGUUGGUGGGGUAGUGGCCUACCAAGGCGGCGACGGGUAGCCGGCCUGGGAGGGUGACCGGCCACAUUGGGACUGAGAUACGGCCCAGACUCCUACGGGAGGCAGCAGUGGGGAAUAUUGCACAAUGGGCGCAAGCCUGAUGCAGCAACGCCGCGUGCGGGAUGACGGCCUUCGGGUUGUAAACCGCUUUCAGCAGGGACGAAGCUUUUUGUGACGGUACCUGCAGAAGAAGCACCGGCUAACUACGUG